rnacentral:rRNA from 1 species
ACGGAGGAUGCAAGCGUUAUCCGGAUUCAUUGGGUUUAAAGGGUGCGUAGGCGGGAUAAUAAGUCAGUGGUGAAAGCCUACAGCUUAACUGUAGAACUGCCAUUGAUACUGUUAACCUUGAGUACAAUUGAAGUGGGCGGAAUGUGUCAUGUAGCGGUGAAAUGCUUAGAUAUGACACAGAACACCGAUAGCGAAGGCAGCUCACUAAACUGUAACUGACGCUGAGGCACGAAAGCGUGGGGAUCAAACAG